rnacentral:rRNA from 1 species
CUAGAUAUAUACAAUACAUGACAGUCAAUUUUUUCGAGAGUUUGAUCCUGGCUCAGGAUGAACGCUGGCUGUGUGCCUAAUACAUGCAUGUCGAGCGGAGUUCUUCGGAACUUAGCGGCGAAUGGGUGAGUAACACGUACUUAACGUGCCCACUAGAUUGGAAUAACGCUGAGAAAUUAGCGCUAAUGCCGGAUACUUAUUAAUUUCGCAUGAAGUUAAUAUAAAAGGAGCAAUUGCUUCACUAGUGGAUCGGGGUGCGUAACAUUAGCUAGUUGGUAAGGUAAUGGCUUACCAAGGCGAUGAUGUUUAGCGGGGUUGAGAGACUGAUCCGCCACACUGGGACUGAGAUACGGCCCAGACUCCUACGGGAGGCAGCAGUAGGGAAUUUUCCACAAUGGACGAAAGUCUGAUGGAGCGACACAGCGUGCAGGAUGAAGGCCUUCGGGUUGUAAACUGCUGUUAUAAGGGAAGAAAAAACAAAGGAGUGGAAAGCCUUUGUCUUGACGGUACCUUGUCAGAAAGCAACGGCUAACUAUGUGCCAGCAGCCGCGGUAAUACAUAGGUUGCAAGCGUUAUCCGGAAUUAUUGGGCGUAAAGCGUCUGUAGGUUGUGUGUUAAGUCUGACGUCAAAACUUGGGGCUCAACCCCAAAUCGCGUUGGAUACUGGCACGCUAGAAUUGUGUAGAGGUUAGCGGAAUUCCUAGUGAAGCGGUGAAAUGCGUAGAUAUUAGGAAGAACAUCAACAUGGCGAAGGCAGCUAACUGGGCACAUAUUGACACUGAGAGACGAAAGCGUGGGGAGCAAACAGGAUUAGAUACCCUGGUAGUCCACGCCGUAAACGAUGAUGAUUAGCUGAUGG